rnacentral:lncRNA from 1 species
CCAUUAGAGCCCCAGCUAUAGCAACAAGAAGGUUGUGCCCAACCGCUCAGUGAGGUCUCGGGGAUGACCCACAGAUGGGUCAUCCAUGCGAGUGAAGGAGAGGCUCCUGGGACACGAGGCACUAUGUAGGGUCAGUGGCAGUAAGGGACAAUAACAGUGUUGAGGGCUGAGCUAGGUGUCACUCAGAGGUGGACUUGAUGUUGGAGAUGUCAGGCUUGCUUGACACUGGCCUUGUGGGGGUGGCAUUCUGGGACAGGCAAAGCAAAGAGGCAUCUUCAGUAGUGAGGAGCCGAGCCAGCCCAGGGAGAGCAAGCAGGAGUCGGUGGAGCCAGUGGUUGACAGUGUGGACUGCGGUAGCGGACAGCUGGGUUUAAGACCUGGGCACAAUGGAGGAUUCUCUUCAUCUUCCUGUGCCUGUUUCUUCACAAGAGGUGAGGAUGAUACCUACUUUAUAGGCCCCUGUCCUCUCUUGGAUUCUAUUCUCAUCUUUAUUCUGAGACAACACAGGAUGGAGCCUGUGCUCAGCAAGCACCCCCAUCUCUGAACACAGGCUCACUGAUCAUUGGCCCAAACCAAGAGUGAGGAUGGCGUUCAUGCCUAUGCCACGGAGUUACCAUGACUACUACAUCUCUGAUAGGUAGCACAGCUGGGCAGCAUCUGGCACACAGGAAGUGACUACCUUCUGAGGAGAGCACCUUUGUCUUAAAGCCAAGGACGUGAUCCCACCAUCCAUGUCAAGGACACUCUCUCUGCUCCAGGCAGGAAGCAAACCUAUUUAUAGACUAAGCUAUGUGCUGGUCUAGGUCAUCAAUAAAUUGCUGCCAUUACCCAGGACUGGGUGGGAAGGAAGCUCGUGGUAAGGCUAUCAUCUCCAGUAAGCUAGUGAGGAGGUGAUUUAAUAGCUUAUCUCAGGUAGUUCUGAACCUCCAUGUUAAACAUCCCCAAGGCCCUUGGAUGAUUCCAGAAGCUAUGUAGUGAUGCUCUGUCACACGCAGGGAUUGGGACUUGGUGGUGGCCAGGGUACAAACAGGCAAGGGUGUGGGAAGACUGCAGUGCUCUGGGAGCAGUCGGGGCCUCUGGGACCCUGCCACAAGCCUACUUCUCUGAGCUGCAUCUCCUGUCAAGAGGCCACAGCCUGGGGACAGCAGAGCUCCUCUCCAGGAACAGGAAGAGCAGCCCAGGAAACCAGACCCCGCGUCUCCAGCCUCAACGACCUCUUCCUGAGCAAAGGUUCAUGGGAUCCUUCCCGGUGAUGAGGCGGUGUGACAGGACUUAGGUUACUGAAAUGGAUGUCUCACUAUAAGAAAAGCUGGGAAGCCAGAUGCUGGUCUCCUCAAGAUGGCAAGAACUAAGGUGAGGGAGGAAAAUGUCUCUGAUAGGAUGACAUACACAAAGACCACAGUGCAUCUGACCCAUAGGCCCAGCUCUCAGAAAGCCACCCCUUCUUCCUCAUGCCCCAGCCAUAGUCCCAUAUACCAGCCCCACCCCCAACUCAGGACUCGUCUCCUGAUAGUCUCCGUAUUCCAUGGAUGAAUAUCCUCCAUAGCUCCAUGCAGGCCUUAUUCAAACAUCACCUCCUUACGUGGGCUUUCUCUGCCUACCUUGAGACAGUCUCCUCCCGUCACUGUAGCACAUACACACCCCCACGUCAACCGUGGUGCACAGAGAAUGCAUGUGACCCAAUUCUGACCCCUU